rnacentral:pre_miRNA from 14 species
AAAGAGAAUUGGUAUAUAGGAAAUUGACCUAUGAAAUGACAGAUGAUAUGGCUAAAUUUGUCUGUCAUUUCUGUAGGCCAAUAUUCUGUAUACCUCUGCUGCUUC